GAACGGGUGAGUAAUACAUAAAUAAUCUACCAUAAUGACUGGGAUAACCAAUGGAAACGCUGGCUAAUACCGGAUAGGUAAAACGAGGGCAUCUUUGUUUUAUUAAAGUAGGGCUACUACACAAUAUGAUGAGUUUAUGGCGCAUUAGCUAGUUGGUGAGGUAACGGCUCACCAAGGCGAUGAUGCGUAGCCGACCUGAGAGGGUGACCGGCCACACUGGGACUGAGACACGGCCCAGACUCCUACGGGAGGCAGCAGUAGGGAAUUUUCGGCAAUGGGCGCAAGCCUGACCGAGCAACGCCGCGUGAGUGAAGAAGGCCUUCGGGUUGUAAAGCUCUGUUGUAAGGGAAGAACACUUUUUAGAGGAAAUGCUAGAGAGCUGACGGUACCUUACCAGAAAGCCACGGCUAACUACGUGCCAGCAGCCGCGGUAAUACGUAGGUGGCGAGCGUUAUCCGGAAUUAUUGGGCGUAAAGGGUGCGUAGGCGGUUUAUUAAGUCUGUGGCGAAAGUGCGGGGCUCAACCCCGUAUGGCCACAGAAACUGAUAGACUAGAGUACAGGAGAGGGCAGUGGAAUUCCAUGUGUAGCGGUAAAAUGCGUAGAUAUAUGGAGGAACACCGGUGGCGAAGGCGGCUGCCUGGCCUGUAACUGACGC
rnacentral:rRNA from 1 species